UACGAAGGGGGCUAGCGUUGCUCGGAAUCACUGGGCGUAAAGCGCACGUAGGCGGACUCUUAAGUCGGUGGUGAAAUCCUGGAGCUCAACUCCAGAACUGCCUUCGAUACUGAGAGUCUCGAGUCCGAGAGAGGUGAGUGGAACUGCGAGUGUAGAGGUGAAAUUCGUAGAUAUUCGCAAGAACACCAGUGGCGAAGGCGGCUCACUGGCGUCGGUACUGACGCUGAGGUGCGAAAGCGUGGGGAGCAAACAGG
rnacentral:rRNA from 1 species